GAUGAACGCUAGCGGCAGGCCUAACACAUGCAAGUCGAGGGGCAGCGAUUAUCUAGCUUGCUAGAUAAGUCGGCGACCGGCGCACGGGUGCGUAACGCGUAUGCAACCUACCUAUAACAGGGGGAUAAUCGAGAGAAAUUUUGUCUAAUACCCCGUAAUACUUUGAGCGGCAUCGUUUGGAGUUGAAAGAUUUAUUGGUUAUAGAUGGGCAUGCGUGACAUUAGUUAGAUGGUGAGGUAACGGCUCACCAUGACAUCGAUGUCUAGGGGAACUGAGAGGUUUAUCCCCCACACUGGUACUGAGACACGGACCAGACUCCUACGGGAGGCAGCAGUGAGGAAUAUUGGUCAAUGGACGGAAGUCUGAACCAGCCAUGCCGCGUGCAGGAAGACGGCUCUAUGAGUUGUAAACUGCUUUUGUAAGAGGGUAAAAGAGAGUACGCGUGCUCUAUUGAAAGUAUCUUACGAAUAAGGAUCGGCUAACUCCGUGCCAGCAGCCGCGGUAAUACGGAGGAUUCGAGCGUUAUCCGGAUUUAUUGGGUUUAAAGGGUGCGUAGGUGGUAUAAUAAGUUAGUGGUAAAAGGCUGUGGCUCAACCAUAGUACGCCAUUAAAACUGUUAAACUAGAGAUCAGAUGCAGCUGGCGGAAUGUGUAGUGUAGCGGUGAAAUGCAUAGAUAUUACACAGAACACCGAUUGCGAAGGCAGCUGGCUAAUCUGAAUCUGACACUGAGGCACGAAAGCGUGGGGAUCAAACGGGAUUAGAUACCCCGGUAGUCCACGCCGUAAACGAUGAUAACUCGAUGUCGGCGAUAUACAGUCGGUGUCCAAGCGAAAGCGAUAAGUUAUCCACCUGGGGAGUACGACCGCAAGGUUGAAACUCAAAGGAAUUGACGGGGGCCCGCACAAGCGGAGGAACAUGUGGUUUAAUUCGAUGAUACGCGAGGAACCUUACCCGGGCUUGAAAGUUAGCGACGAACGUAGAGAUAUGUUUUCCCUUCGGGGCGCGAAACUAGGUGCUGCAUGGUUGUCGUCAGCUCGUGCCGUGAGGUGUCGGGUUAAGUCCCAUAACGAGCGCAACCCCUAUCGAUAGUUACCAGCGAGUUAAGUCGGGGACUCUAUUGAGACUGCCAGUGUAAGCUGUGAGGAAGGUGGGGAUGACGUCAAAUCAGCACGGCCCUUACGUCCGGGGCGACACACGUGUUACAAUGGAUGGUACAGAGGGCAGCGACACAGCGAUGUGAAGCGAAUCUCGAAAGCCAUUCUCAGUUCGGAUUGGAGGCUGAAACUCGCCUCCAUGAAGUUGGAUUCGCUAGUAAUCGCAUAUCAGCCAUGAUGCGGUGAAUACGUUCCCGGGCCUUGUACACACCGCCCGUCAAGCCAUGGAAGUUGGGGGUGCCUGAAGUCCGUUACCGCGAGGAUCGGCCUAGGGCAAAACCGAUAACUGGGGC
rnacentral:rRNA from 1 species